GAUGAACGCUAGCGGCAGGCUUAAUACAUGCAAGUCGAGGGGCAGCAGGGGUAGCAAUACCCGCUGGCGACCGGCAAACGGGUGCGGAACACGUACACAACUUUCCUUUAAGUGGGGAAUAGCCCGGGGAAACCCGGAUUAAUACCCCGUAACAUUAUGAAGUGGCAUCAUUUUAUAAUUAUAGCUCCGGCGCUUAAAGAUGGGUGUGCGGCUGAUUAGGUAGUUGGCGGGGUAACGGCCCACCAAGCCUACGAUCAGUAACUGGUGUGAGAGCACGACCAGUCACACGGGCACUGAGACACGGGCCCGACCCAUACGGGAGGCAGCAGUAAGGAAUAUUGGUCAAUGGACGCAAGUCUGAACCAGCCAUGCCGCGUGGAGGAUGAAGGUCCUCUGGAUUGUAAACUUCUUUUAUCUGGGAAGAAAUCCAUAUUUUCUAAUGUGGUUGACGGUACCAGAUGAAUAAGCACCGGCUAACUCCGUGCCAGCCGCCGCAGUAACAC
rnacentral:rRNA from 1 species